rnacentral:tRNA from 1 species
GUUUGGUGGCUGAGUGGUAAAGCGCUUGGCUUCCAAACCAAAGGAUCUCGGGUUCGAAUCUCGGUGAACA